GAUGAAUGCUGGCGGCGUGCCUAAUACAUGCGAGUCGAGCGAACAGACGAGGAGCUUGCUCCUCUGACGUUAGCGGCGGACGGGUGAGUAACACGUGGAUAACCUACCUAUAAGACUGGGAUAACUUCGGGAAACCGGAGCUAAUACCGGAUAAUAUAUUGAACCGCAUGGUUCAAUAGUGAAAGACGGUUUUGCUGUCACUUAUAGAUGGAUCCGCGCCGCAUUAGCUAGUUGGUAAGGUAACGGCUUACCAAGGCAACGAUGCGUAGCCGACCUGAGAGGGUGAUCGGCCACACUGGAACUGAGACACGGUCCAGACUCCUACGGGAGGCAGCAGUAGGGAAUCUUCCGCAAUGGGCGAAAGCCUGACGGAGCAACGCCGCGUGAGUGAUGAAGGUCUUCGGAUCGUAAAACUCUGUUAUUAGGGAAGAACAAAUGUGUAAGUAACUAUGCACGUCUUGACGGUACCUAAUCAGAAAGCCACGGCUAACUACGUG
rnacentral:rRNA from 1 species